AAUUAACUCUCUUCGAGCACAAAUCGCCAUCAUCGAGGGUUGUUUCAGCGUAUUGCCACAGGAAAUGACGACAAUUAAAGAGAAUGUAUCAAAGCAAAUGAACACGGCAACAGAUCUACUGAGGGAAAUUGAGUGGGCAGAUGUAGUUGGAAGAGCUGAAUAUGAGGCUUUGUGCGCUCGUGUUUGGUCAUUAGAAGCUAAGAAUGAAUUCUUAGAAGAAAAGGUAAGGUCAUUGAAAAAUGAAAAUACGAGGGCAAAUGCUGAAAUAGAAGAAGAGAGGGAAAGUUGGAAAAAUUGGAGGCGGGAAAUUGAAAAUUGGAAGCGGGAAGUUGAAAACAAGAUAAAUGCGACGAAUUAGGUGAAUAUGCUGAAAAUAGCAACAACAAUUUCAUGGAGCAACUGCACAAGAAAAAUUAGCACUUACCUUGAAGCAUGGGAGCAUAUAUUUCACAAAAAAUAUACUAUUGCAAAGACUUUUAACUAAUAAUAAUGUAAUUUACCUUCCUAUAUGCCAAUUGGCAAGUCUACUGUUAAUUAUAAGCACUUAAUUUUAACAUUGAUAUAGCUACCAUAUUCAUUAGAUAAACAGUACUCAGUAAAACAAAUUGAAGAUGUAAUAACAUGUACUAAGAUUUGUAUCAAUAAACUAAACUUUUUCCUAUUUCA